UUCGCGCUGUUCGCGUCUCCCCGUCUGCUGCUGGAGCACAGUCUGGAGGGAGCUGUCACUACACGGGUCCUAGCUAGUGUGGGUUUUCAUGGAGCAACACGAGAGACCUUUUAGCGGCUGUCCCCGAGUUUCCAACUGACUACUGAGGAGUCUUUAGUUUUAUUUCAUGUCUGCAGGAGUGAAUCCAAAGUCUCUUCGAGGCUGAUGCUACACUCCAGCUAAAAGAUCAAAUCUGCCAGAGGUCUGAACAUUGUGGAGCCAUUUAAACUGAUGAGAAGUUCUGAAAUAUUACUAUAUUUUCACUCCCACCAAACACAAAGUAAACUGACCACCGAGAGUGCAAAUGAUGGAAAAUCAGACCACGAGUCUUUUGCAUGGGACUAACAAAAUUUGAUUUACCUCCUUUCAUUUAACCAUGAGUGGAUCCUACACAUCUUUGGAGAAAUAUUGUGCUCUUCAGACCUUUUCAAGUAUAAUGACAUCUGAAAUGUACAUACUCUACCAGUGCUAUUGAACUGGACUGUGAAAUAAUCUUUGAACCUCGUCAAUAUGGCAAAACACACAGAGGGGGCAUGAUUUACUGAGGCCAUAAUUAAACAUUGAAUUUGCCUCUCCUCUGGGCUCAGCUGAAUUCCCGUCAGCAGCCUCUACAGCAAAUUGUUGCAACCUAAUGUCCUAUGUGUUUGGAUUUUGUUAAUUUAUUUCCUGCACCUCAUUUUCCUGGAACGAGUGUGGUUAUUUAUGGCACAGCAGCAAACACUUUACAUUUAUGGGGGAUUAUGAAUUUCAGUAAUGGGUUUUGUGGCAAUUUAAUCUGUCCCAACUAUGAGGCAUUUUACAAUGACAAUUAAAUUAUUAUUAAAAAAAAUAAACCUCAAAUGACAUUCUUAUCGCUUAUCAACAUAUCAAAAGUUUCACUG